rnacentral:lncRNA from 1 species
GGAACAGGGAAGCAGGGGGAGACACAAGCAGAAGGAACCCUGAGUGUACAGUGGGGUGCAGCCCUCAUCAAGACCCCUGGCACUCAGGCCUACAUGGCUCCAUGCCCUGGGAGCAGAGUGAGGAGAGGGAGAGGGGAGAGUGGAGGCUGGAGGCUGGAGGCUGGAGGCUGGAGGCUGGAAAUCACCAAAAGCCACAACUACUGAAGUCAGGUCUCUGCCAUGUGCUGGGUGACCUUAGUUCCGAGCUGGAGUCCCUGCAUCAAGCCGUUCCUGAAGCCAGCGUCCUUGAAUAUGUUUCCUUCAGCUAUGAGAGCCAGCUCCCCUGCUUUUCACUAAGGUCAGUUUGAUUUGGGUUUCUCCACCUUUCGAGCUGAGGACCUACAGCGCUUCCUUAGUAGCUGGGAUGAGGAGCCGAGGGGCUUCAGAAAAGACCAAACCUCUGGGUCUCGGGCCUUUUUCAGUGCCAUUAGCAGAAAGCAACACGCACGCGCCAUCUCUCCCACCUGGUCCCGGGAGCGGUGCCCACCUACUGCGAGAUUCCCCCCCCCGGCCACUGGCUCAAGACCGAUCGGCACGGUCCAUCUGAGCAGCACCCACCGUGCGCUGGCCCAGCGCUGGACAAAGGAGGCAUCGAUGUCACCCGGGGCUCACGGAGACCCAGCAGAAAGCCCUGGCCACGCCCGGAACACCCGGCCCUGCUCUCCACCCAGGCAACUCCUGUUGGCCAGCACUCCCCAGACCAGCGCCACCUCCUCUAAGACGCCUCCUCUGCCUCCCCUCCCCCAGGCGGUUCUGGGGGCUUCUGUCUUUCCUUGCGUUCAAGACGCACCAGGAUCCGAAGCAUCAACCACAAGGAACGAACAACACCCCGAUUACACCACCGUAACACGAGACUUUGUUCAGGUGGGGAAACUGAGGCCCAGAGAGGCAAAGCACAGAAACAGGGACAGCACCAGCACCAGCACCAGGGUUCAGGCUCUGGACAUGUGGGACAAGAAUUCACCUUCCAGGGCUUCCCAGGGUGAUGGCCCGGACUCCUCAGCCCACACCAGAGCCCUGGUGGCCACGGGGAUAAGCAGCUGCCCCGCGGGGCUGAAACGUAGCCAGCGAUGCUCCUGCGAGGGGAGGCCCCGCGUCACGCGUGGGCGGCAGAGCCGGAACUCGGGGCACAGCUAUUUCUGGAGGCCGAGGCGAGAAAGUGGGGGCGGCGGAAGAGCCUCACAGGAACGGGGAGGCUGGGGGCCCCGGCGGGGGGCUCAGGGCCUGGUGUCCUCUGUGGGAAUGGAGAGCCGGGUGCAGAACCCCGAGCCCCUGUGGGCGCCAGAGGAGGAGCCAGGCAGGGAUGCUGUCCCCAACAGGCGACAAGACGCCCGGACAGACUGGCCGGGCCCUGGGGCAAAGCCAAGCUAGGACCUGGAAAUGUGGAGCCGGGUGGACGGCUGGGCUGCAGAUUUAAAUACGGUCAGAAUGGCCUGGAGANNNNNNNNNNNGUGUGUGUGUGUGGCACUUGUGUGAUUCCAGCACUCGGAAGCAGGAAGAUCAGCACGAGGCCAAGGCCAACCUGAGUUACACAGUGAGACCCUGCCUGUCUCAAAAAAAAGAAAAGAAAAAGACCUGGAGAAGGGCAAGGAGGGAGUUGUGUCCACAUCGGCAUUGCAGAUCAAUCAAACAACCUGUGCAAAGGCCCUGGGGCGGCAUAGAGCCUGGCAUGGUGCAUGGGCAAUAAGGAUCCCAUGUGGCUGGAGCAGAGAGCACAAGAGGGAGGGAGGGAAGAGAGGUGGGGAGGGGAUGGGUGGGCUGUGCAGGCCCCCAUGGGCUGCCGGGAGGACUUGGGCUUUGGCCCCAGGGAGGUGGGAGCCCUAGAAGGCUCUGUGUGGCAGGGACGCACUGCUUGCUCUCGAGUCCCUGCUGCAGGAGGUGGAUGGUCCAGGAGCCAGACCUGAUGGUGAGGCAGAGCCAAAGGCAGUGACCAGCAGGGAGAGGGAGGAGGCUCCUGAGAGCAAACAGCCACAUCUCCGAGAGCACUGUGUCCUGGGGUUCAUGUGUGACCACCCUGAAGACCAAGUUGGCCUGCAAGUGCCAGAAAAGGCACAGAAGAGGAGCCCCCAGGUAACCCCGCAGGGCUAUUUUGCCCCUAUCAGCAGGGCCCAGGCUCUUUAUAUCUCCUUCAUUCUCCAGUGUUAGCCAUAACGCCUGCCUCAGGGUCCAAUACAGCUGCCUGAGCAACUGCCAUCACUUCCACAUUCCCGGUGGGAGGUGAAAGAACCAUGCACCACCUCUCUUUAAAGACAUUUCCAGGAAAUCCUGUUCAUUUAUUCCAGAAUGAUUCAGAUGGUGCCGACAGCUGCAAAGGAUACCAGGAAAUGUCUUCCUUCCUCUCCCUGGUGACCAUGUGUCCAGAUAAAAAUUGUAGAGUCCAAUUGUUAUAGAGCAUGGGACAUGAAGGGCUGUUGGGAGACCCCACCAGAAACGGGUGACCUCGGGGCCACAUCUUAGAUUUCAAGCCAGCACAUCUGAGAAACUCUGCCCCAACUGUGACGGCUUUCACGGAUCCCCAGGGUGCAGGCCUGGCUCAGCUAAGCCCAAGGUUCAGGUCAGUGCCCACAGGCUGGGCCCCCUGCAGCCCCCUAUCCUGCCUCACCCCUGCCUGUCGAGGACCCAGGGCAAUUCAUCUCCUUCUCCUCCAUAAACAACUGUCAGGGAAAAUAAAUAGUUUUUAAUAGGCUCAUUAAUUGAAUUCAGGAAGAAAUCUCCUCUCCCCAGCUGAGCGGGAGGAACUGGGCAGAGAUGGAGAAUCUUAAUGGCCAGAGGCAGCGGGCACCCCAGGCCCCUCUGCCCACCGUGCUGUGCCCCAGCCCCGCCAGUUCUGUCCCGGCUGCGAAGGGCCACAGCCUUACACUGGGCAGCAGGGAUGGAAAAGGAUUUAAUAUCAUUCUUUUUUCUUGCAAUACUGGGGGUGGAACUGAGGGCCUCUGCAUUGAGCUCCAUCUUGACCCUUCUUAUUUUUUAUUUUAGACAAGUAUCCUUAAAUUGUCCAGCCUGGACUAGAACUUGAGAUCCUCCCGUCUCAGCCUCCCAAGUGCUCAGAUGACAGGCCUGCACCACUGCACCCAGCUGAAAUCUGUGUUCUUUUUCUUUUUUUUUUUGGUACUGGGGAUCAAACUCAGGAUCUUGCACUUAUCUGUGUUGAGGGUCAAAUUCAACCUUGAGAAAGACCAGCUGGUUCUGGCUGAGUCUUCCACUUGUCUCACUCUGCACUGAGCUCUUUCUGGGGUCCCAGCCCCUCUGGGCUCCCCCAGAGGCCAGAAAUGGCACGGGCCGACUCUGGGCCCCUCACCUCCAGCACCUGUCCACAGGCCCGCCCCCCCCGGCUUGUGUGCUCCCCAUUCCGUCCAUCGUGGCUCUGCACACAG